UACUGCUCAGUAGUAGAGAACCAACUCAUUGUGGUUUCUAUCUGCAUUUCUGGAAUGAUUAACACUGUCAAACAUCUCUUCCUGGGCUAACUGACCACACUUAUCUCUUUAUUGCUGAAAGGGAUGUUUAUGUCUUUGGUUAUUUUAUAGGUGGAUUGCUUUCUUUUUUUGAAUAUUCUUAAAUUUUAAAAAAAAAUAUUUAUUUUUAUGUUUAGGUAUGUGUACUUAGGUAAUUCUGCCUAGGAGUAUGCACACAUUAGUGCAGGUGCCUGCAGUAACCAGAAGAGGGAGUCAGAUCCCUGGAGGUGGAGUUUAAAGGUGGUUGAGAGCUGCCCAGCAGUGGGUUCUGAGAUCUGAACUCCAGUCCUCUGCAAGAGCUGCAAGACUCAAAGCUGCUCAGCCAACCCUUCAGCUCUUCAUUGUUGAAUUAAAUAAAAAAUAUUACGGGGUCAUAAAUUUCAAAUUGCAAAUUAAAUAUGCACCACUACCCCCACCCACCCGGAAAACUCUGUCAAUCAAUUCAAUUACAAGUGCUCUGGGCUUCUAUUGCCCAAGCCUUUUCUCAGUAUAUUCGUGGGUAUGGGAAGUUACUUACAUAAAAUUCCCAUGGAGAGGAUUUUCUUAGUCUUGUGGUGUUAAGUCCUCAUUUUAGCGGUCUGUAACCGACAGCCCGAGGAGCCAACGCCCCUCCCUUCUGCGCAGGCGCAAAUGUCUCCUCUAGCGAUCAAUGCAAUAGCUUGUAGGUGGCUUGGACCACCCGGGCCAGCAAGCUUCCACCGCCCACCCAUUGGUUUGGAAUGCCAGACCUGGCUGGAGGUAUGAAAGGCUACCUGGACAAUGAGUGGCAGCUGCUAAGGAGUCAUUUCAGUUAACCCUGCCAUGUGCCCUGGAGGACACCAGAGCUCCGCCAGUUUGUGGGAGACACCAUCCACUACCCUGAUUUCCUGAAAGCUGCAGGUGGACAGCAUCAGCAAGUCCUGCAGAGCCGUGUGCAUUCUGUCCAUCCUAAGGUGGUUGUGUGGACAAACUUGUAUUUUAAAGACUAAUUGUAGAAAAAGACAUAGACUCAGGCUAAGCUAGUGGAUCUAACCUAGGGAUCUGGGUGGUUACCCACUUAAAGGUCAAUGUAUUAAAGAUUCUAUACUUUU